rnacentral:rRNA from 1 species
GACGAACGCUGGCGGCGUGCUUAACACAUGCAAGUCGAACGGAAAGGCCCUGCUUUUGUGGGGUGCUCGAGUGGCGAACGGGUGAGUAACACGUGAGUAACCUGCCCUUGACUUUGGGAUAACUUCAGGAAACUGGGGCUAAUACCGGAUAGGAGCUCCUGCUGCAUGGUGGGGGUUGGAAAGUUUCGGCGGUUGGGGAUGGACUCGCGGCUUAUCAGCUUGUUGGUGGGGUAGUGGCUUACCAAGGCUUUGACGGGUAGCCGGCCUGAGGGGGUGACCGGCCACAUUGGGACUGAGAGACGGCCCAGACUCCUACGGGAGGCAGCGGUGGGGAAUAUUGCACAAUGGGCGGAAGCCUGAUGCAGCAACGCCGCGUGCGGGAUGACGGCCUUCGGGUUGUAAACCGCUUUCGCCUGUGACGAAGCGUGAGUGACGGUAAUGGGUAAAGAAGCACCGGCUAACUACGUG